rnacentral:pre_miRNA from 1 species
CACUGGCAGAUACAUUCACCAUUUUCGACAGGUUAUCCACUCAUUUUAAAAAUCAAAGUGCCAUUAAGGAACCCGAGAAUCGCUGGAGAUACCUGCCGAUG